ACGAACGCUGGCGGCAGGCCUAACACAUGCAAGUCGAGCGCGUGUAGCAAUACACGAGCGGCGCACGGGUGCGUAACACGUGGGAACCUACCCUUCGGUACGGAACAACCCAGGGAAACUUGGGCUAAUACCGUAUUCGCUCCUGGGACGUGGAGUUCCAGGAGGAAAGAUUUAUUGCCGAAGGAUGGGCCCGCGCCGGAUUAGCUAGUUGGCGGGGUAAUGGCCCACCAAGGCUACGAUCCGUAGCUGGUCUGAGAGGAUGAUCAGCCACACUGGGACUGAGACACGGCCCAGACUCCUACGGGAGGCAGCAGUGGGGAAUAUUGGACAAUGGGGGCAACCCUGAUCCAGCCAUGCCGCGUGAGUGAUGAAGGCCUUCGGGUUGUAAAGCUCUUUCGCCGGGGAAGAUAAUGACGGUACCCGGAGAAGAAGCCUCGGCUAACUCCGU
rnacentral:rRNA from 1 species